ensembl:snRNA U6atac minor spliceosomal RNA
GUGUCGUAUGAAAGGAAAAAAGGUUAGCACUCCCCUUGACAAAGAUGGAAGAGGCCCUCGGGCCUUACAGCACGCCUAUGGUUAAGGCAUUGCUACCUACUUUGUAGCAUCUAACAAUGAUUUUUC